rnacentral:lncRNA from 1 species
UCUGUUCAAUCAUCUACGAGCAUGUGAUGCCCUUGUAGGUCACAUUUUUCGUGAUGCGACACAAAGAAUAUUAAAUCACAACGCAUAACAUGAACCAUGUUUCUAGAGGAUCUAAAGACCAAUCAUUAUUGCCAUCAUUCAUCUAACCUAUGUUUUUCUUCAGUAAAUAUCUGUAGAAUAUUUCUUGGUAGCAUUUCGGCAUAAGGUAUUUUCUAAAUAGAAUCCCUG